GAUGAACGCUAGCUACAGGCUUAACACAUGCAAGUCGAGGGGCAGCAUGGUCUUAGCUUGCUAAGGCCGAUGGCGACCGGCGCACGGGUGAGUAACACGUAUCCAACCUGCCGAUGACUCGGGGAUAGCCUUUCGAAAGAAAGAUUAAUACCCGAUGGCAUAGUUCUUCCGCAUGGUAGAACUAUUAAAGAAUUUCGGUCAUCGAUGGGGAUGCGUUCCAUUAGCUUGUUGGCGGGGUAACGGCCCACCAAGGCAUCGAUGGAUAGGGGUUCUGAGAGGAAGGUCCCCCACAUUGGAACUGAGACACGGUCCAA
rnacentral:rRNA from 1 species